rnacentral:ncRNA from 1 species
AAGUAUCUCCGAGUCCCGCCACGGAUGGGGGCGAUAGGAGUAACGGCUGGUUGGCACAGCCAUCGACGUUCCUGUUUGACAAGGAAACUGGCGUGUUCGCGCCUCAAGAACAGGUCACGUCGUAAACCACAAUAUCCCAACGCGGUCGGGAAUCUUCGCCCUUCAGGGCGGAGA